GUUCACGUACGAUCACUGAAGUUAAGCAACAUCGAGCCUGGUCAGGACUUAGAUGGGUGACCGCUUGGCAAUACCAGGUGUUGGA